GGACGACGCUGGCGGCGGGCCUAACACAUGCAAGUCGAACGCGAAAGGUCUUCGGACUGAGUAGAGUGGCGCACGGGUGAGUAACACGUAGGUAAUCUACCCUUUGGCGGGGGAUAACGUUCCGAAAGGAGCGCUAAUACCGCAUAAGACCACGGAGUCUCCGGACGCUGUGGGAAAAGGUGGCCUCUUCUUGAAAGCUACCACCGAAGGAUGAGCCUGCGUCCCAUCAGCUAGUUGGUAAGGUAAUGGCUUACCAAGGCGAAGACGGGUAGCUGGUUUGAGAGAAUGAUCAGCCACACUGGCACUGGAACACGGGCCAGACUCCUACGGGAGGCAGCAGUGAGGAAUAUUGGGCAAUGGGCGAAAGCCUGACCCAGCCACGCCGCGUGAGUGAUGAAGGCCCUCGGGUCGUAAAGCUCUGUGGAGAGGGACGAAAACCCUGGUUUCAAAUAGGCUCCAGGCUUGACGGUACCUCUUUAGCAAGCACCGGCUAACUCUGUG
rnacentral:rRNA from 1 species